rnacentral:rRNA from 1 species
GACGAACGCUGGCGGCGUGCUUAACACAUGCAAGUCGAACGGUGAACCAGAGCUUGCUCUGGGGAUCAGUGGCGAACGGGUGAGUAACACGUGGGCAACCUGCCCCAGACUCUGGGAUAACCUCGGGAAACCGAUGCUAAUACCGGAUACGACCACUUCGGACAUCCGACGGUGGUGGAAAGUUUUUCGGUCUGGGAUGGGCCCGCGGCCUAUCAGCUAGUUGGUGGGGUAAUGGCCUACCAAGGCGACGACGGGUAGCCGGCCUGAGAGGGCGACCGGCCACACUGGAACUGAGACACGGUCCAGACUCCUACGGGAGGCAGCAGUGGGGAAUAUUGCACAAUGGGCGAAAGCCUGGUGCAGCGACGCCGCGUGAGGGACGACGGCCUUCGGUGUAACUCUUCUAGCAGGACGAAGCGAAAGUAGACUGUACCUGCAGAAGAAGACACCGGACUAACUACGUGCCAGCAGCCGCGGUAA